rnacentral:rRNA from 1 species
UUAGCAAUUCGCCCUGCCASAUUCAGUUGCUCGUGCUCCGCGACGUGCGCGCUCUCGAUCCGCAUGGACGAGACGUGCGCGGGUGCGGCGCUCGGACGGCGCACUUCUGGCGGGCGAGCGUCAGCGUCGGUUGUCGACGGGCGACAAGGAUGCAAGGAAGGUGGACCGGUCUUCGGGCCGGUUGUUAAGCCUUGUGCUCGUAUAGCUCGACGGCGACCGUGGCUCCGAAGAGGCGACGCGUGCCUAGCUGGCGACUCGAACGAUCGGUCUGGCAUGUCGACUGUGGCGGACGGCACGCCUGUGCGCUCGAACUGCUGCCGGUCGAUCGUGCGAUGUUCGCACACUACGCGUCGAAGAUGCUGACGACCAUACGGCUCCAUCCGACCCGUCUUGAAACACGGACCAAGGAGUCAAACAUGUGC